rnacentral:rRNA from 1 species
AUUGAACGCCGGCGGAAUGCUUUACACAUGCAAGUCGAACGGCAGCACGGACUUCGGUCUGGUGGCGAGUGGCGAACGGGUGAGUAAUGUAUCGGAACGUGCCCAGUCGUGGGGGAUAACGUAGUGAAAAUUACGCUAAUACCGCAUACGAUCUAUGGAUGAAAGCGGGGGAUCGCAAGACAUCGCGCGAUUGGAGCGGCCGAGAUCAGAUUAGGUAGUUGGUGGGGUAAAGGCCCACCAAGCCAACGAUCUGUAGCUGGUCUGAGAGGACGACCAGCCACACUGGAACUGAGACACGGUCCAGACUCCUACGGGAGGCAGCAGUGGGGAAUUUUGGACAAUGGGCGAAAGCCUGAUCCAGCCAUUCCGCGUGCAGGAUGAAGGCCCUCGGGCUGUAAACUGCUUUUGUACAGAACGAAAAGGUUUCUACUAAUACUAGGAGCUCAUGACGGUACUGUAAGAAUAAGCACCGGCUAACUACGUGCCAGCCGCCGCAGUAA